rnacentral:rRNA from 1 species
AUGGCACUGCCAUCCGAGGAGGUGGUGGCCAUACUCGCGCCGAUCAUCGUGUACUGGGUCGCCGCCGGUGUGUACACGGUGCUCGGCCGUGUACUGGCUGACCACAGGCUCCACUCGAGGGAGGAGGAGGAGGUCAGGAACCUCGUCCCCAAGCGUGUCGUGGUCCGCACCGUCCUCCUCCAGCACGUUCUCCAGGCGGCGAUAGCCUUCGCAGUCUUCAACGUGAAGCGAGAAGAUCGCCGGGUCGCCGACGCCGGCACCGGCGCCGCACCCGCCAUGGCCGUCAUCUGCUGCCAGUUCGUGGCUGCCAUGGUGGUCCUCGACACGUGGCAGUACGGGUGGCACCGCCUGAUGCACAGCAGCGGCCUGCUGUACCGCCACGUCCACUCGUGGCACCACAGGCUGGUGGCGCCGUACGCCUACGCCGCCCAGUACAACCACCCGCUGGAGGGCCUCGUACUGGACACGGCCGGCGGCGCGCUGGCGCUGGCCGUGACGGGGAUGGCGCCCCUGACGGCUGCCGCCUUCUUCUCGUUCGCGACUCUCAAGGCCGUCGACGACCACUCCGGCGUGCUUGUCCCGGGCAACCCGCUGCAUCUCCUGUUCCGCAACAACACGGCCUACCACGACGUCCACCACCAGGUCCGUGGUGGCCGCUGCAACUACGCGCAGCUGUUCUUUGUGGCGUGGGACAAGCUGAUGGGCACGUACGUCCCUUACGAGGUCGUCAGAGCUCGGCACGGCGGACUGGAGGCCGUGCCGUUGAAGAAGAAGAAGAAGGCCUGA